rnacentral:rRNA from 1 species
CACGUAUGGAACCUGCCCUGUACUGGGAGAUAACCCGGAGAAAUCCGGACUAAUAUCCCAUAACAACCGAGGUGGCAUCACCUUGGCUUGAAAGCUCCGGCGGUACAGGAUGGCCAUGCGCCCGAUUAGCUAGUUGGUGAGGUAACGGCUCACCAAGGCUACGAUCGGUAGGGGGCCUGAGAGGGUUAUCCCCCACACUGGUACUGAGACACGGACCAGACUCCUACGGGAGGCAGCAGUGAGGAAUAUUGCGCAAUGGAGGCAACUCUGACGCAGCCAUGCCGCGUGCAGGAAGAAGGCGCUACGCGUUGUAAACUGCUUUUAAUCGGGAAGAAACCCCGGGACGUGUCCCGGGUUGACGGUACCGAUGGAAUAAGCACCGGCUAACUUCGUGCCAGCAGCCGCGGUAAUACGAAGGGUGCAAGCGUUAUCCGGAUUCAUUGGGUUUAAAGGGUGCGUAGGCGGGACAGCAAGUCAGCGGUGAAAUCCCGUGGCUCAACCACGGAAUUGCCGUUGAUACUGCUGUUCUUGAGUACGUUUGACGUGGGCGGAAUGUGCCGUGUAGCGGUGAAAUGCUUAGAUAUGGCACAGAACACCGAUAGUGAAGACAGCUCACGAAGACGAAACUGACGCUGAGGCACGAAAGCGUGGGGAUCAAACAGGAUUAGAUACCCUGGUAGUCCACGCCGUAAACGAUGAUCACUCGUGAUCGGCGAUAUACUGUCGGUCACCUUAGCGAAAGCGUUAAGUGAUCCACCUGGGGAGUACGAUCGCAAGAUUGAAACUCAAAGGAAUUG